rnacentral:rRNA from 1 species
GUUUGAUCCUGGCUCAGAAUCAACGCUGGCGGCGUGCCUAACACAUGCAAGUCGAACGCGAAAGUCCCGCAAGGGAUGAGUAGAGUGGCAAACGGGUGAGUAACACGUGGGUGACCUGCCUUCGAGCGGGGGAUAACGUCCCGAAAGGGACGCUAAUACCGCAUGACAUCCUGCCUUUGAACAGGCGGUGAUCAAAGCUGGGGAUCGCAAGACCUGGCACUUGAAGAGGGGCCCGCGCCUGAUUAGCUAGUUGGUGAGGUAAUGGCUCACCAAGGCGACGAUCAGUAUCCGGCCUGAGAGGGCGGACGGACACACUGGGACUGAGACACGGCCCAGACUCCUACGGGAGGCAGCAGUGGGGAAUUGUUCGCAAUGGGCGCAAGCCUGACGACGCAACGCCGCGUGGAGGAUGGAGACCUUCGGGUCGUAAA